CCUACGGGAGGCAGCAGUGGGGAAUAUUGCACAAUGGGCGAAAGCCUGAUGCAGCAACGCCGCGUGAAUGAAGACGGUUUUCGGAUUGUAAACUUCUAUCCAUAGGGAAGAAAGAAAUGACGGUACCUAAAUAAGAAGCCCAGGCUAACUACGUGCCAGCAGCCGCGGUAAUACGUAGGGGGCAAGCGUUAUCCGGAAUUACUGGGUGUAAAGGGAGAGUAGGCGGCAAGGUAAGCGAGAUGUGAAAGCCUUAAGCUUAACUUCAGGAUUGCAUAAGGAACUAUCUAGCUAGAGUACAGUAGAGGAGAGUGGAAUUCCUGGUGUAGCGGUGAAAUGCGUAGAUAUUAGGAAGAACACCAGUGGCGAAGGCGGCUUUCUGGACUGAAACUGACGCUGAGGCUCGAAAGCGUGGGGAGCGAACAGGAUUAGAUACCCCUGUAGUC
rnacentral:rRNA from 1 species